AACGAACGCUGGCGGCAUGCCUAACACAUGCAAGUCGAACGAGACCUUCGGGUCUAGUGGCGCACGGGUGCGUAACGCGUGGGAAUCUGCCCUUGGGUUCGGAAUAACUCAGAGAAAUUUGAGCUAAUACCGGAUGAUGACGUAAGUCCAAAGAUUUAUCGCCCAAGGAUGAGCCGCGUAAGAUUAGCUUGUUGGUAGGGUAAUGGCCUACCAAGGCGACGAUCUUUAGCUGGUCUGAGAGGAUGAUCAGCCACACUGGGACUGAGACACGGCCCAGACUCCUACGGGAGGCAGCAGUGGGGAAUAUUGGACAAUGGGCGAAAGCCUGAUCCAGCAAUGCCGCGUGAGUGAUGAAGGCCUUAGGGUUGUAAAGCUCUUUUACCAGGGAUGAUAAUGACAGUACCUGGAGAAUAAGCUCCGGCUAACUCCGUG
rnacentral:rRNA from 1 species